rnacentral:rRNA from 1 species
GGGCCCGCACAAGCGGUGGAGCAUGUGGUUUAAUUCGACGCGACGCGAAGAACCUUACCCAGACUUGACAUGCAUCGGACGCGUGUGGAAACACACGUUCCCUUCGGGGCCGAUGUACAGGUGCUGCAUGGCUGUCGUCAGCUCGUGUCGUGAGAUGUUGGGUUAAGUCCCGCAACGAGCGCAACCCUUGUCCAUAGUUGCUAACGGGUAAUGCUGAGCACUCUAUGGAGACUGCCGGUGGUAAACCGGAGGAAGGUGGGGAUGACGUCAAGUCCUCAUGGCCCUUACGUCUGGGGCUACACACGUGCUACAAUGGCCGGUACAAAGGGUUCCGAUACCGCGAGGUGGAGGCAAUCCCAAAAAACCGGUCUCAGUUCGGAUUGCAGUCUGCAACUCGACUGCAUGAAGUUGGAAUCGCUAGUAAUCGCUGAUCAGCAGGCAGCGGUGAAUACGUUCCCGGGCCUU